UAUUUGCAUACACCAAGUCGUCAAAAUGGGAUCACACUUUUUAGAGUGCUAUAAAUAUGUAAUUCAAUAAAACCAAACCUGCUGGCUGGGAGUACAACCUUUUUAAUUCCAGUUGCCCGACCCGCCGCAGGCACGCAGGACUAUUUGUGACCGCAAAUAUGAUGGCAAAUUGCCACUUUGCAGCACCAACAGGCAAACCCGAAAACCUCAAAAUCCCCAAAAGCCCCAGAACCCAAAUAGGAGUUCUUCGGAAGGAGCCAGCACUCCCCGAACAACCGACCAUGCCACAGCAUCCGGUUGGUGCUGGAAACGCUGCUGGGGCACUUAGAAUUUAGCCUGCAAUUUAAGCAAUUAUCGUUGAAGCUGGCCCAGCAUUAGGCUUUCAGGACUUGACAUGUGCCCUCUCUAACACCGAUCUGGCAGGAUGUUGGUUCUGAAAGCACGUCCCUGUGUGUGUGUGGGCUUCCUGUCUCGGAUGGCUAUUAUUAUUGCAGCUUGUUUUUACAAGGAUUGCAAUGUAAGUCUCAGCCGUCCCCUCCUCUUCGCUCUUUUAUUUUGCCAUAUGCUUGGCGAUUAUGUUUCGGACAUUGUACAUGAAUAUUUUGCUUGUUUAAUUAAGAGUGAAAAUUGCUGGUAUUAUA
rnacentral:sRNA from 1 species